rnacentral:rRNA from 1 species
UACGUAGGGUGCGAGCGUUGUCCGGAAUUACUGGGCGUAAAGAGCUCGUAGGCGGCUUGUCGCGUCGACUGUGAAAACCCGCGGCUCAACCGUGUGGUCUGCAGUCGAUACGGGCAGGCUAGAGUCCGGAAGAGGAGAGUGGAAUUCCUGGUGUAGCGGUGAGAUGCGCAGAUAUCAGGAAGAACACCAAUGGCGAAAGCAGCUCUCUGGGACGGUACUGACGCUGAGACGCGAAAGCGUGGGGAGCGAACAGG